UUAUAUCUUGGAGUUCCUCUGGAUGCUUCAUAUGAGGGCUAGCUACUCUAAUAUCUAAUACCAAAUGGAAAGAAUAGCCCUUCUUCAAUGAAGUGUUUGGGGGAACUCUUAGGUUCAA